GAUGAACGCUGGCGGCGUGCCUAAUACAUGCAAGUCGAGCGAACAGACGAGGAGCUUGCUCCUCUGACGUUAGCGGCGGACGUGUGAGUAACACGUGGAUAACCUACCUAUAAGACUGGGAUAACUUCGGGAAACCGGAGCUAAUACCGGAUAAUAUAUUGAACCGCAUGGUUCAAUAGUUAAAGACGGUUUUGCUGUCACUUAUAGAUGGAUCCGCGCCGCAUUAGCUAGUUGGUAAGGUAACGGCUUACCAAGGCAACGAUGCGUAGCCGACCUGAUAGGGUGAUCGGCCACACUGGAACUGAGACACGGUCCAGACUCCUACGGGAGGCAGCAGUAGGGAAUCUUCCGCAAUGGGCGAAAGCCUGACGGAGCAACGCCGCGUGAGUGAUGAAGGUCUUCGGAUCGUAAAACUCUGUUAUUAGGGAAGAACAAAUGUGUAAGUAACUAUGCACGUCUUGACGGUACCUAAUCAGAAAGCCACGGCUAACUACGUG
rnacentral:rRNA from 1 species